rnacentral:misc_RNA from 1 species
GUGAGACAUUCGCACUCGCUCCCCGCCCCACUGCCGCCGGUACGUGCCCGCGUGCCGCCUGCAGGUGAGACACACGACACUCGCGCUCGCUCCCCGCCCCACUGCCGCCGGUACGUGCCCGCGUGCCGCCUGCAGGUGAGACACACGACACUCGCGCUCGCUCCCCGCCCCACUGCCGCCGGUACGUGCCCGCGUGCCGCCUGCAGGUGAGACACACGACACUCGCGCUCGCUCCCCGCCCCACUGCCGCCGGUACGUGCCCGCGUGCCGCCUGCAGGUGAGACACACGACACUCGCGCUCGCUCCCCGCCCCACUGCCGCCGGUACGUGCCCGCGUGCCGCCGGCAGGUGAGACACACGACACUCGCUCCCCGCCCCACUGCCGCCGGUACGUGCCCGCGUGCCGCCUGCAGGUGAGACACACGACAUUCGCACUCGCUCCCCGCCCCACUGCCGCCGGUACGUGCCCGCGUGCCGCCUGCAGGUGAGACACACGACACUCGCACUCGCUCCCCGCCCCACUGCCGCCGGUACGUGCCCGCGUGCCGCCUGCAGGUGAGACACACGACACCCGCACUCGCUCCCCGCCCCACUGCCGCCGGUACGUGCCCGCGUGCCGCCUGCAGGUGAGACACACGACACUCGCACUCGCUCCCCGCCCCACUGCCGCCGGUACGUGCCCGCGUGCCGCCUGCAGGUGAGACACACGACACUCGCACUCGCUCCCCGCCCCACUGCCGCCGGUACGUGCCCGCGUGCCGCCUGCAGGUGAGACACACGACACUCGCACUCGCUCCCCGCCC